rnacentral:rRNA from 1 species
UACGUAGGUGGCAAGCGUUGUCCGGAUUUACUGGGCGUAAAGAGCGCGCAGGCGGUCGUUCAAGUCGCGUGUGAAAGCCCCCGGCUCAACUGGGGAGGGUCACGCGAUACUGAUCGACUGGAAGGCAGGAGAGGGUAGUGGAAUUCCCGGUGUAGUGGUGAAAUGCGCAGAUAUCAGGAAGAACACCCGUGGCUAAGGCGGCUCUCUAGUACGGUACUGACGCUGAGACGCGAAAGCGUGGGGAGCGAACAGG